UACGGGGGGAGCAAGCGUUGUUCGGAUUUACUGGGCGUAAAGGGCGCGUAGGCGGCCACCGCAAGUCGACUGUGAAAUCUCCGGGCUUAACCCGGAAAGGUCAGCCGAUACUGCGGGGGCUAGAGUGCAGAAGGGGGCAACUGGAAUUCUCGGUGUAGCGGUGAAAUGCGUAGAUAUCGGAGAGGAACACCUGCGGCGAAGGCGGGUUGCUGGGCUGACACUGACGCUGAUGCGCGAAAGCUAGGGGAGCGAACGGG
rnacentral:rRNA from 1 species